rnacentral:tRNA from 1 species
AAGAUUUUAAGUUAAAAAAACUAAUGACCUUCAAAGUCAUCAUUAAAAAAUAUUUUAAAUCUUA